AUGCUUUUAAACACCCGUGCAGCAGGCGCGCAAAUUACCCAAUCCUGACACGGGGAAAUAGUGGCAAUAAAUAACAAUACCAGACUCGGUAGUUGGAAUGAAUACAAUCUAAAUACCUUAACGAGGAUCCAUUGGAGGGUAAGUCUGGUGUCAGCAGCCGCAGUAAUUCCAGCUCCAAUAGCGU
rnacentral:ncRNA from 1 species